GUCCCUGAAACGCAAUGGAUAGUGCGUUGGACGAUCCAUCCAAAGGUCGUGGGCUCAAAUCCUACCGGGGAUG